rnacentral:lncRNA from 1 species
UAAUGGCUGAAACCAACAAGAGCACAUUCCACAUUCACACAUGUAUGUCAAAAUCCUGACAAACUUCCAGGCAGGCCCAUCGCCAAGUGCAACAGUGUCCUCCAGUUCAUGUAUAAACCUUCCGUACUACCUACCCCAACCAACCCAGAAGUAACAAGUACCUCCUCUCCAUAAAGGACUGUCCUGCUCUGCACUGUCCCAUGCAUCUUACCUACAGCCAAUGUUUCAAUGACUUGUCAAAUACUGAAUUACAGUGAGCUGCCUAUAAAUAUCUGUGGGAUGAUGUAGAAAAUAAGGAAGGCUGCAUGACAUCCCCAACUAACCAUAGGGACUAAGACACUGCAAUGGAACACCUGUUAUUUGUAAUUAACCAAAAAGAUGGAUCUCCCCCAUGAUGCAGAGACAGAAAGCUCUUAGGAGCUUAGAGGAAAAGGGUGAUGGCUGCAGUUAUUUUCCAAGCAAGUCCUGUCACACGUCCAGGAAUCCUGGUUCACUGAAUUUUGAAUUUCUAUGGAAAGGAAAUUUGGAGAUCAUUAGGUCUAAUUUCCAAGUUUUGGAGAUGAAGAAAUUGCAGAGGCUUCCUCAAGAAUCUGUCACAUUAAUAUUUCAAGUUUGGUUGACAGAAGAUGGAAAAAAAGAGCAAGGAAAAUGCCAUUUGGAGGUUCAUUCACCUACUAAUAGGAAUUUUGUGCUUUGAAUAUUUACUCUCUCCUGGUUUUACACUCUCUGGCUAUAAAAGUUGAGACAAAAAAGUGUUUAGUUUUGAAGUUGUCAGAAACUACUGUUACAGCAGAUUCACCCCUGAUUAACAUUAUCUCUGUUGAACUCAGUGUGAAAGGAAAUAGAAAGCUUAAAAGUAUCUGCUUGGAUUCCUCUUCAAGCAAGAAAGUUUUCAUGACUUGAUUUACCAUUAAAGUUCUGCAACCUGCCAGGAAAUCAUCAAGAUCAGAUUGGCAGGAACUGCUGUUUCACUUGCCUAGGCAGUGACUGAUGUGAGAUGAAACACACACACACACACGCACACACGCACACACAUGCACACACGCACAUGCACACCAUUCCCCCAGAAGACAAAUACAAGACUGGAGAAAAAUAUAUUUGAAAGUCAUGUGACCAGUAUUUGAAUUAAAUAUAUCUAAGAAGGGAUAUACUAGAAGUCAGCCAAUUUUAAUGCUACCAUAAGAUUGUUUUCUGAACAUAUAUCCAAUAAUAGAAAAUACAGUUUUCAACUGAAUAUUUUUUUUCUUUCAGUAGUUACAAUGGUUGGAAUAGGGAUGCACCCCAGCGCUAUACCUUGUUAUGUUCUCUUUUGCUUUGAAAUUUUUUCACAGUUCUAGUGGGCUGCGCUUCACGAAGUCUAAUGUAGAACUUUGUUCUAAACAUUUAUUCAAAUCAUAACCUCAGACUUUCCUCAGGUGUUUUCUACACCUGGAGAAGUAUUCACAUGUAAAAAAUACCUCAAAACAUUGGUACUGGAUCUAAAAUCCAUUCAUCCGUUUAUUCAUUCCACAAUCACCCACCAACUACAGGUCAGACUCACUGACGGGCACUUGGGAUAUUAAAAUGACUAUAACACCAUUCCUGGCCUAGAGAACACAUAGUCUGUCGUGAAAACUCAGUGAAAGUUGGAUAAAAUUUGGAGUCUAGUCAAUAACACUGUGCCAACAUCAAUUUCCUGUUCUGAUAAUCAUGUUAUGAUUAUAUGAGAGGUUAAAAUUAAGGGAAGCUGAAUAAAGGGUCUAUGAGAAUUCUGUGUCACUUUUGCAUCUUUUCUGUAAGUUUAAAAUCAUUUCAAAGUGAAAAGCUAAAAAAGAAAUGCAGACUAAACUUUGUAGCAAUGAAUUAUACACCCUAAACUUUAUAUCAAUGCAGCCUCAGAAUUAUUUUCAAGUCGAAAUCCAAUUUGCUUUGAUAAAUACCAACAGAUUUAUUAAGAUGAGAAAUAACUGGGGAAUAAAGGAAAAAUGAGUUUUAAUAAAAAGUAUAUUAUGGUCUGCAUGUGACUCUCAGCACUUCUAAUUAUUAUUCAUGCUACUUUGAGCAAAUAAUUAUCUUCCUUAAAGCUUAGUUUCCUCAUCCAUAAAUUUGUGGUAAUAAUACUUAUGAAAACUCCUUUAAAAUGCUCCUUGUGGCUCUGGGGUUGGGGCUUGGGUGAGGUAAAGUAUUUUGACGUUAAAUGUACAACACAUAUGAUGC